rnacentral:rRNA from 1 species
UUUCAUAAUAAAAGAUUUUUAAAAAAGGUACACCCGAUCUUGUCUGAUCUCGGAAGCUAAGCAGGGUUGGUCCUGGUUAGGGCUUGCAUGGGAGACUGCCUGGGGAGACCAGGUGCUGUAAGCA